rnacentral:rRNA from 1 species
UACGUAGGGAGCAAGCGUUGUUCGGAUUUACUGGGCGUAAAGGGCGCGUAGGCGGCGCGGUAAGUCACUUGUGAAAUCUCUGAGCUUAACUCAGAACGGCCAAGUGAUACUGCAGUGCUAGAGUGCAGAAGGGGCAAUCGGAAUUCUUGGUGUAGCGGUGAAAUGCGUAGAUAUCAAGAGGAACACCUGAGGUGAAGACGGGUUGCUGGGCUGACACUGACGCUGAGUGCGCGAAAGCCAGGGGAGCAACGGG